UGGGAAUUUUGGACAAUGGGCGCAAGCCUGAUCCAGCCAUGCCGCGUGCGGGAAGAAGGCCUUCGGGUUGUAAACCGCUUUUGUCAGGGAAGAAAUCUUCUGAGUUAAUACCUCGGGAGGAUGACGGUACCUGAAGAAUAAGCACCGGCUAACUACGUGCCAGCAGCCGCGGUAAUACGUAGGGUGCAAGCGUUAAUCGGAAUUACUGGGCGUAAAGCGUGCGCAGGCGUUUUGUAAGACAGAGGUGAAAUCCCCGGGCUCAACCUGGGAACUGCCUUUGUGACUGCAAGGCUUGAGUGCGGCAGAGGGGGAUGGAAUUCCGCGUGUAGCAGUGAAAUGCGUAGAUAUGCGGAGGAACACCGAUGGCGAAAGGCAAAUCCCCUGGGCCUGCACUGACGCUCAUGCACGAAAAGCGUGGGGAGCAAAACAGGAUUAGAUACCCUGGUAGU
rnacentral:rRNA from 1 species